ensembl:lncRNA novel transcript
GGGUGGAGAGGAUUGGGAGCACUUCAGAGAAAAGAUCUGAGAGAAAAGCCUGGGACUCUGCCACCCAGCUCCCUGGCCCCUGGGAGAAGCCAUGGCAGAUAUUUGGGAUGAGGCAGCAUGCUGGUCCCUCAGCAGCAUCCUUAUCACGUCAGCUGUGAGAGAAAUAAAACUGUGAGACUGUGAAGUGUAUAAAGGAUUCUACCGCUCUCCCGGGGCUUGGAGACCCACAGAUUGGAGAAAUCUCCAUCUCAAUCUUCUUUGCCACGUCAUGCAUGCCCUUGAAGCAUUAGAAUUCCUUAAAGCUUCAUGGGAGAAUGCCAUGGGAUGAUGAAGACAGAGAUUGGAGUCAUGCAUCUGCAAGCCAAGAAAUGUACAAGAUUGCUGGCAAACCACCAGAAGCUAGGAGCAGACAAGGAAGGAUCCUCCCCUAAAGGUUUCAGAGGGAGCCAUGGCCUUGCUGACAUCUUGAUUUCAGACUUCUAUCCUCCAGAAUGGCCCUAUUCAUCCACUCCAGAAAUUACCUGGACUGCCGUGUUCUGACAUAGCCUGGUUCUCCACCAGUGGUCUCACCUAGUGCCCUUUGGCUCUGUUGCACAAAGCUUGCUGGGAUAAAUAGCAUAAAGAGACUGGAAGAAGAUGGGGAUACCUUUCAAAUGCCAAUUCCCUGAAUCCCUUGGAGGGCACAGAGAAUCUGCAUUGGUCUCAAGAACUCAAAAGAAGAACCAUGGGGAUUAAAAAGGAGGCACGAAUCAUAAAACAUUCAGGUGAUUAACAAGAGUUAGCUCUGCCUCCUUCCAGAGAGAAGGUUUGGGGGCACUGAAGAGUGGCAGGGACCAAAGAAAGGUGUGACUGUCCACCCUCUCUGAAGGGGUCCUUCUCAGUAUUGGGAACUGUCCCAAGAAAACCAUGGACACUAUUUGCACAUGGGGGAGCACUGCACAGAAGAUAACCCCAAACCAAGCCAGAGGAAGACCACUCCCAGAAGUCAGCCAAUUAUAUGAGAUAAUAUCUGCUAUCUCUUCCAUCCUUCUUCCUGACUUCAGCACAUGGGAUGGGCUAGAGAUCUAGAUGGAAGAGGAAUGUGAGGUGUCCCCAGAACAGACUAGAUCCUCCACUCCAACCCUAAGGUUGGGGAGGAAGAGAAUUGAGAAGACGAUGUAACUGUCCUCUUGAGCUGAUGCCUUGCUACCUCUUAGUAAGUGGAAAAAUUAAAUAUCAAUUUGGAGAAGAGAUCACAAUGUUGGACUAUACUGGGAUGAAUAUUUAAUAGCUGAAAAUGCCUGGAAAGCUGUGAGUUUUGCUGGGAUAUUUGAGGUUGGAAAUGGAGAUUUGACAUCAAGGUGAAGGCAGCAAUUUGAGAACAAUAAAACCAUUGUAUCUAAAUGCAGUUCAGACCAUUCAGUCAUAAAUUGUAUUUGAUUGCUGUUGAAAAGCCACAAUGAAUGUUAUUGUUUGGCAAGAAUAAUUCCGUCGGUCAUUCCAAGUCACUGGUUAGAUUUUAAGGUACAAUUGGAUUAAAAUAGAUAAUUAGGAAGCACAUUUCUCAUUAUUCAGGAUGGAUUUAGCUGAUUCACAACUUCAGUUGCAAGAGAUUAGACUGCAAAAUUAGAGAUUAGAUUGAAAUAUAUUAGACUGAAAAUUUCAUUUUUUAUUUUAGUUUGCCUUCUCCCAGACAGUGUGUUGACGUGGAAGCUGUCAGGGCUCAGAAGAUCUGGGGUCUAAUGGCUCCAUCCAUAACCACCUAUAUCAAAGCAGUCACAUCUUAGGAACUUAUGGUAUCUUGAUUUCUUUCCAUUGUUACCCUAAUUCAGUAAGCAUUCGCAAAGUAUCUUAUGAGGAUAGCGGCUUUAGAAUUAGACCAUGUAGGUUAGAAUCCAGGGGCUAUAAUUUACUGGCUGUGUGAUCUUGGUCAAGCUACUUAUCCUUUCUGAGGCACUGUUUUCUCAUCUUUAAAUGUGGAUGUGGCAAUUGAACUGGGCCACAAAGAAUCAGUAGAAUCUCCUCUGUAAAUUGGAGUAUUUGAACUAUGUGAUGUUUAAAACCUCUUCAAUUCUAAAAGCCUAUUCUAUAUAACCCCACAGGGAAGAGAAUGGAUUUCAACAGAAUCGUGUGGCUUCAGAUGAUAAAGAAGUAAGAAUUUCCAGGUUAGAUAUCAGAUAUA